rnacentral:rRNA from 1 species
UACGUAGGGGGCGAGCGUUGUCCGGAUUUAUUGGGCGUAAAAGGCUUGUAGGUGGCCACGCCAAGUCGGAUGUGAAAUCUCCCGGCUCAACUGGGAGGGGUCAUUCGAUACUGGCGGGCUCGAGGCAGGUAGGGGGAAGCGGAAUUCCCGGUGUAGUGGUGGAAUGCGUAGAUAUCGGGAGGAACACCAGUGGCGAAGGCGGCUUCCUGGACCGGUAUUGACACUGAGGCGCGAAAGCCAGGGGAGCAAACGGG